AUGGAGAUCUUCUACACCUUAGUUUUAUUGUUGUUGGCGAUAUUCACCUGGAGUCAUUCACUCUCACUGACAAUCACUUAUACACGCGAGGAACUACUUGGAUUACGGUGGUCCUGUUUGUCUAUGUACGACUCUUCUAAUGCUCGGACAGAUGUGAUUCUUGGUGAGGAUUUAUUUGCCCGGUCAAAGACUAAUUUUGGAAAGCCCCGCCGCUUGAGAAAACGCGGAAAGAAAGGCGGCGUGCGUCAGCGUGUAAGAAAACUUCGGAGGAAGAAUCGUGUUCCUCUGCCUUCUAUGAUUCCGACCAGUGUCCAAUCUCUUAGGAACAAAACGGAUGAAUUACAAGGAAAUGUGCUUCAUCUACGGGAAUACAGUGAGGCUUGUCUGAUGGCGCUUACAGAGACAUGGCUGACCGAUAUGGACAGUGACACUUCACUGCGAAUCAGCGGCUUUGGGACCCCUGUGAGAUUGGAUCGGAAUUGUGGAGUAACACGCAAAUCUCACGGAGGAGGGGUAUGUUUGUAUAUCAACCAGGGCUGGUGUAAUAAUUUUACUGUGCGGGAGCGGUUGUGUCUUCCUGACAUCGAGCUCCUUUCAGUAUCUGUCAGGCCUUUUUACUUACCGAGGGAGUUCCCUCAAAUUUUUGUCACUGUUGUUUACAUUCAUCCUAAAGCUGACGUUAAAACUGCUGCUGACGCCAUUUUUAAAGUGGUACACAAUCUGCAGACUCUUUCUCCGGAUGCUCCUAAUUUUAUUCUUGGUGAUUUUAACAAUUGUAAUCUUAAGAAAUCACUGAACAAUUUCUUUCAAUAUGUCACUUGUCCUACAAGGCAUAACAAAACGCUGGAUUUGUGUUAUGGACCAAUUAAGGGGGCAUAUAAGUCUGUAGCUGGACCGGCGCUAGGUUCUUCGGAUCACAGUGUUAUUCAUCUCCUCCCUGCUUACAGAUCUGUGAUUAGGAGGGAGAAGGCCUGUGUGAAGGGGACUAAUGUCUGGACAAAAGACAGUUGUGUUGCCCUUCAGAGGUGUUUUGAUUGCACUGACUGA
rnacentral:lncRNA from 1 species